rnacentral:pre_miRNA from 1 species
AGCCUUCUGUAUCCGUGCUGAGAUUUCGUCAGCGAUCAACCCGCUGGAGCUGGCUGACGUAACUCCUCAAAUUAGUGAAGUG